UCGCUCCUACCGAUUGGAUGAUCCGGUGAAAUCUUCGGAGAUGAGGCUUCGCUGGGGCAACUCAGUUUGUUUCGUCAAAGUCGCUUAAACCUUAUCAUCUAGAGGAAGGAG
rnacentral:rRNA from 1 species